rnacentral:rRNA from 1 species
AACACAAGGUCUUGGUCUUAAACCUCUCAUUAUCUUAACUCCUUACUUAUACAUGCAAGCCUCAACACAACAGUGAGAUAGCCCACUAUUACACCAAGCGGAGCCGGUAUCAGAUCAACCCCAUGACACCAAGCAAUAAAGCCACACCCACACGGGCUAGCAGCAGUACUUAACAUUGGGCCAAAGCUAUAAGCUAAAAUAAACAUAUACCCCCUAAUAACCUGAACAUUUUUGACCCGUGAAAGUCAGGACACAAACUAAGAUUAGAUACCUUACUAUGCCUAACCAUAACAACAACAGUUAAACAACAAACUGUUCGCCAAAUAACUACGAGUUAAAACUUAAAAUUUAAAAGACUUGACGGUACUUCACACCAACCUAGAGGAGCCUGUCCAAUAACCGAUGAUCCACGAUUAACCCUACCCGCCCUAGCCUAACAGUCUAUAUACCGCCGUCGCCAGCUUACCUUGUAAAAGAAAUAAAGUAAGCCCAAUAAUAACCCAUUAAUACGACAGGUCGAGGUGUAACCAAUGGACGGGAUAAAGAUGGGCUACAUUUUCUUUUAAACCAGAACAAACGAACAGACUAUGAAACUAGAAACUGAAGGUGGAUUUAGCAGUAAGCCAGGAAUAAACAAGCCUAGCCGAAACCAACGCAAUGAAGUGCGUACACACCGCCCGUCAUCCCUGAAGAACAUUAAACUAAUUCAUAAAAAACUACCGUUUCACCAAAACAGGGCAAGUCGUAACACGGUAAGCGUACUGGAAAGUGCGCU